AGAGUUUGAUUAAGAGAGUGGCCAUUGAAACCACAAAGAAAAGUAUUUGAGUGGGUGGUAUUUACCAAUGAAAAGUAUUUACAAAAUAUGGUCAAAGUUGAUUUAAAGGUUCAAUUCAAAAUAAAUGUUAUGAAAAGAAGGUUUGAAAAUCAAAAGCAUAAGGCUUAGGUUUCUAAUGUUUGAAAACAAGUGUUAAAUGUUUGCACAAAGGUUUUGGCUUGGGUUAGAGUGGAGAGAAGAAGAAGAAAGGCUAAAGUCCU
rnacentral:lncRNA from 1 species